AAAACGACUCUCGGCAACGGAUAUCUCGGCUCUCGCAUCGAUGAAGAACGUAGCGAAACGCGAUACUUGGUGUGAAUUGCAGAAUCCCGUGAACCAUCGAGUCUUUGAACGCAAGUUGCGCCCCAAGCCAUUAGGCCGAGGGCACGUCUGCAUGGGUGUCACGC
rnacentral:rRNA from 1 species